UACGUAGGGGGCAAGCGUUGUCCGGAUUUAUUGGGCGUAAAGAGCGUGUAGGCGGCCAGACAGGUCCGUUGUGAAAACUCGAGGCUCAACCUCGAGACGCCGAUGGAAACCGUCUGGCUAGAGUCCGGAAGAGGAGAGUGGAAUUCCUGGUGUAGCGGUGAAAUGCGCAGAUAUCAGGAAGAACACCCGUGGCUAAGGCGGCUCUCUAGUACGGUACUGGCGCUGAGACGCGAAAGCGUGGGGAGCGAACAGG
rnacentral:rRNA from 1 species